AAAGAUUAAGCCAUGCAUGUCUAAGUACAUGCCGAAAUAAGGCGAAACCGCGAAUGGCUCAUUAAAUCAGUUAUGGUUCCUUAGAUCGUUUCUUCCUACUUGGAUAACUGUGGCAAUUCUAGAGCUAAUACAUGCAGUGAGCCUGGAGCCCUUUGGGUAACGGGUGCUUUUAUUAGACCAAGAUCGAUCGGGUUUCGGCCCGUAUUGUGUGGUGACUCUGGAUAACUUUGUGCUGAUCGCAUGGCCACGAGCCGGCGACGUUUCUUUCAAGUGUCUGCCUUAUCAACUUUCGAUGGUAGGUUACUUGCUUACCAUGGUUGUUACGGGUAACGGAGAAUCAGGGUUCGAUUCCGGAGAGGGAGCCUGAGAAACGGCUACCACAUCCAAGGAAGGCAGCAGGCGCGCAAAUUACCCACUCCCGGCACGGGGANGUAGUGACGAAAAAUAACAAUACGGGACUCUUUUGAGGCCCCGUAAUUGAAAUGAGUACACUCUAAAUCCUUUAACGAGGAUCAAUUGGAGGGCAAGUCUGGUGCCAGCAGCCGCGGUAAUUCCAGCUCCAAUAGCGUAUACUAAAGCUGCUGCGGUUAAAAAGCUCGUAGUUGGAUCUCAGUUCCAGACGAGUAGUGCAUCUACCCGAUGCGACGGCUCGGACUGAACAUCAUGCCGGUUCUUUCUUGGUGCACUUCAUUGUGUGCCUCGAGAUGGCCGGUGCUUUUACUUUGAAAAAAUUAGAGUGCUCAACGCAGGCGAGUCGCCUGAAUAAACUUGCAUGGAAUAAUAGAACAAGACCUCGUUUCUGUUCUGUUGGUUUUUGGAAUACGAGGUAAUGAUUAAGAGGGACGGACGGGGGCAUUCGUAUUGCGGCGCUAGAGGUGAAAUUCUUGGACCGUCGCAAGACGAACUACUGCGAAAGCAUUUGCCAAGAAUGUUUUCAUUGAUCAAGAACGAAAGUCAGAGGUUCGAAGGCGAUCAGAUACCGCCCUAGUUCUGACCAUAAACGAUGCCAACCAGCGAUCCGCCUGAGUUACUCAAAUGACUCGGCGGGCAGCUUCCGGGAAACCAAAGUAUUUGGGUUCCGGGGGAAGUAUGGUUGCAAAGCUGAAACUUAAAGGAAUUGACGGAAGGGCACCACCAGGAGUGGAGCCUGCGGCUUAAUUUGACUCAACACGGGAAAACUUACCCGGCCCGGACACUGGGAGGAUUGACAGAUUGAGAGCUCUUUCUUGAUUCGGUGGAUGGUGGUGCAUGGCCGUUCUUAGUUGGUGGAGCGAUUUGUCUGGUUAAUUCCGAUAACGAACGAGACUCUAGCCUAUUAAAUAGGUGCGGGGUUCCCAGCACCUUACAACCUUCUUAGAGGGACAAGCGGCUCCUAGCCGCACGAAACAGAGCAAUAACAGGUCUGUGAUGCCCUUAGAUGUCCGGGGCCGCACGCGCGCUACACUGAAGGAAGCAGCGUGUCUUUAUCCCUGUCUGAAAAGACUGGGUAACCCGUGGAACUUCUUUCGUGAUUGGGAUAGGGGCUUGCAAUUGUUCCCCUUGAACGAGGAAUUCCCAGUAAGCGCGAGUCAUAAGCUCGCGUUGAUUACGUCCCUGCCCUUUGUACACACCGCCCGUCGCUACUACCGAUUGAAUGAUUUAGUGAGGUCUUCGGACCGAUGUCCGGCGCGGCCUUUCGGUUGCGCCGGUCUGUUGGAAAGNUGACCAAACUUGAUCAUUUAGAGGAAGUAAAAGUCGUAACAAGGUU
rnacentral:rRNA from 1 species